GAGUUUGAUCCUGGCUCAGGACGAACGCUGGCGGCGUGCCUAAUACAUGCAAGUAGAACGCUGAAGUCUGGUGCUUGCACUAGACGGAUGAGUUGCGAACGGGUGAGUAACGCGUAGGUAACCUGCCUCAUAGCGGGGGAUAACUAUUGGAAACGAUAGCUAAUACCGCAUAACAGUAUUAACCGCAUGGUAGAUACUUGAAAGGAGCAAUUGCUUCACUAUGAGAUGGACCUGCGUUGUAUUAGCUAGUUGGUGAGGUAACGCUCACCAAGGCAUCGAUACAUAGCCGACCUGAGAGGUGAUCGGACCACGACUGGGACUGAGACACGGCCCAGACUCCUACGGGAGCAGCAGUA
rnacentral:rRNA from 1 species